GCUCUACCAACUGAGCCACAUGGGACCUAACCAGGGACUUGUUUAGACCUGGGACACCAGGAAGUCUCCGCUGAGCUCUGGGGGAAUCGCAGGAAAUUGUCGGCAGCACCCCGUUGUGUCCUCCCUAAUCCAGCCGUCACACCCCCUGGUUCCCACCCAGACCUCCAUGCACGUGUGUGUGUAAGGUGGACACACAGAGAGAAGCAGCCUGAUAGUAGUCCCCAGAAACAGCCCAACGGCUGUUUCCUUGUCUCUUCACGCCGUCUCUUCACGCCUCCGUCGUGUUGUUCUCAACACCAGUUUAAAUCAAUAAAGUUUUCUAGAUAUCUGUCA